CAGUUCAGAUUGUCAGGCUGCAACCCGCCUGCAUGAAGUCGGAAUUGCUAGUAAUCGCGGAUCAGCAUGCCGCGGUGAAUACGUUCCCGGGCCUUGUACACACCGCCCGUCACACCAUGGGAGCCGGUAAUACCCGAAGUCAGUAGUCCAACCUCGUGAGGACGCUGCCGAAGGUAGGAUUGGCGACUGGGGUGAAGUCGUAACAAGGUAGC
rnacentral:rRNA from 1 species